rnacentral:rRNA from 1 species
UACGUAGGGGGCUAGCGUUGUCCGGAAUCAUUGGGCGUAAAGCGCGUGUAGGCGGUCCGGUAAGUCCGCUGUGAAAGUCGGGGGCUCAACCCUCGGAUGCCGGUGGAUACUGGCGGGCUUGAAUAUGGAAGAGGGUCGCGGAAUUCCCGGUGUAGAGGUGAAAUUCGUAGAUAUCGGGAGGAACACCAGUGGCGAAGGCGGCGACCUGGGCCAAUAUUGACGCUGAGGUGCGAAAGCGUGGGGAGCAAACAGG